CAGGCAGAUGUGAUUCUGUGGGAGGGUGGCCUGGAGAGCUGGCUGGGGCCUUGGCGGAUGAGUAACUGGGACAGAGGGGUGCUCUGCAGCACCGGAUCCGGGUCCUGGAAGAGCAGCUCAAGUCACUGGGGGAGCAGAUGGUGGCCGAGAGCCGGGGGCUGAGCCAGAAGAAGGAGGAGGCCCUUCAGGCCCUGUCACAGGAACGGAGCCGGCUGCUCGAGCUCAACUGCCUUCAGGGAACACCUGGCGGGGACUUCUCUGAGCCGAACCCGGCCCUCACUAAGCUGCUGUUCACCCAGAAGACAGACCGCCAGCUGCUGGUGCUCCAGGACGCCGCGGCCCACUCCACUGCCACCCCUACUUCUUCCUGCCUCUUCUCUGUCCAUAGCUCCCUGCAGGGCUCCAUUGGCCUCCAGAGGACUGGGAGCCUGCCCCGGAAAAGGGGAGAGAGGGCGAGCCAGAGAGGAUCCCCCCGACCUCUGUCCUUCCAUUGUACUGAAUCCAUGGAGGCCUCAGCUCUCCCGCCAGCAGUGGGGGACUCCGGCAGAUACCCCCUCUACCAGCUGCUGAACUGUGGCUGUGGGAAUAGCUGUGGGGCCAUCCACCCAGACAUUGCCCACAUGGAGCAGCUCCUGCAGCAGGCCAUGGCGGAGAGGGAGCGGCUGCUCAAGGCCCGGGAAGGAACAAGAAGGGGCAUGGAAGGUUCCUCAGGCCCUGCUGUUCCUGCCAUCACGGUGUCUGGGGGCUGCUGCCGCGGACCCCUGGUGAAGAUGGGCGGCCGCAUCAAGACCUGGAGGAAGCGAUGGUUCUGCUUUGACCGCCAAGCCCGCCGCUUGGCCUACUAUGCAGACAAAGAAGAGACCAAGCUCAAAGGUGUCAUCUACUUCCAGGCCAUUGAGGAAGUCUAUUACGAUCACUUACGCUGUGCCUUCAAGAGCCCCAACCCCCGCCUGACCUUCUGCGUCAAAACCUACGAACGCCUUUUCUACAUGGUGGCUCCGAACCCCGAAGCCAUGCGCAUUUGGAUGGACGUCAUCGUGACAGCAGCUGACGAAAACCACGCCCCCUGAGUGGCCCCGCCCUCUUGGGGGAAGUCCCUUCCAGGCUCCGCCGGCGCGGGGCGCGGGGGAGUUCCUAGGCCCCGCCCACUGCCGGAAAACUUGGUCGCAUUGCUUUGGAACUCUCCCGGGAAUUCCGCAGGCGCGGCAGCUUAGCUGGCCUGAGCUGCUGCGUUCUGAGUUGCGGGUGCCUUGCCACCGACGGGAUCGCUGGCCCCUGAGGCCCUGUCCGGGGCAGGAGGAAGAUUGCAGGGGCGGGAAGAAACUAUUUAUUGGUGCUCCUGUGAUACCGAAUUAAAUACGGAGGAAAAACAGGAAUUGCUGCUGUGGUUUCCAGCCCAGGCAUCCGGGGCCCUUUGGCCCCUAGGCAGGAUAUCUGAGUUAUCUCGGUACCUCUGGGAGCCACGCGUCCCACAGCCGGCUCUCUUUAGGAAUGGAGGCUUUCAACUCUAAGGUCAUGGCUGGGAGAA
rnacentral:sRNA from 1 species